CCUAAAAGUCGUCUCAGUUCGGAUUGUUCUCUGCAACUCGAGAGCAUGCAGUUGGAAUCGCUAGUAAUCGCGGAUCAGCAUGCCGCGGUGAAUACGUUCCCGGGCCUUGUACACACCGCCCGUCACACCAUGGGAGUUGGCUUUACCCGAAGGCGCUGCGCUAACCGCAAGGAGGCAGGCGACCACCGUAGGGUCAGCGACUGGGGUGAAGUCGUAACAAGGUAUCCGUAGGGGAACCUGCGGUUGGAUCACCUCCUUUCUAAGG
rnacentral:rRNA from 1 species